UGACGUACAAAUGUAUGUAUUAUUAUGUUAUUAUUAUUAUAUGCUAUUUGUUUCACAUAUCUUACUAGAGCGUAAAAUUCUUUCACUUUAGCGGAACAUUGCUGCCUCCAUUUUAAAUAUGUUUUUGCCUUUAUUUAUUUAUGCGGGACUAUAAUCCGCUUUAAUUCUACCUUGCUAGAGUCGCUGCAUUUCAAAUGCAAAUUUAAGGUACUGUAGGAGUGAUAUUAAUAUAACGCUUGAACUGAUUUCUUAAGGGAGUGAUGAUGACAUUAGUAAAAUGAUCCGAUGCGGGAUGGAGAAGGACCACCUCUUCUCCGGGAAGAGGUUUUCUUCUGCAGCAGGAUGGGAAUCGGUGGUGGCAAAAUUGUUGUGGUUCGGGUUUCUCGCCUCCUCCCCCACCUGCAGGAUCGGCAGGCAGGGGUGGGCCAAACUCUAAUGAGCGCUGAGCCUCUGGCGCACCUGCAGCGCAUUACCUUAAUUCGGCGGCUACUUAAACUCCCCUCGCUUUGCCUCCGGUGCCGGAUUUUUGUUUCGCCAGAGCGUCUAGCUCCCACCCUCUGUGAUCUCCAGUUUUUCGCCUCCUGUUUUCCGUGUUUACUUCCAGCAGUUGUGCUGUGGGAAAUUGGCCUGAAUGGAAUGCUGACUCCAGCCCGAGCAGCAAAAAUGUGGGAGAACCUUAUAAAAACCUACAAGGAGCUUCAGAGACCACCGUCAGGAUCUGGCACUGAAUCUGGGGAGGUCACUGCUGUUGUCAUAUAUUAAAAACGCCCAACACAACCAUUCGAUUUGUAAAAAGUUAUAAUGUAUUAAUUCUUCACCCAGAUUACAACACCAUAUUUCCCCCCCCCCCCCCGUAAAACACUCCACUCAAUUAUAGGUCUGUACCACAGUUCCUUGAUGCCUCCGUGCUGUGUGAGUGCAUGCCAUACGUAGGUUUCCCACCGUUGGAAUGUUUGCGGUCCAUAAAUGUCCUCCGAAAGCGCAGUGGUGUGUCCAGAGGCCUCCACGAGUGAAAAGUUCAAAAGGAAGAAAAAAAAAAGUAUAAUCCGAGGACGGCAUCCACGAUUAAAACGUUGAAUAAUAAUCCAAUCUGGGCGGAAAGGUGUCCAUCAGGUUGCUGCCAAUCGGCCAUAUAGUUGGGGAAAAAAAACUCGUGUCGCUCCUUAUGUUUCUGCGGGAGUUCUCCAUGUUGAUUGCCAAUUAACAUCAGCUGGGCACCUGCAGUUCGUGGGAACUUCUCCCUCAUGAACCCCACCCGUACAACAAAUGGGGAAUAUUAUAAACAGUUUUUAUACAUCCAUCACACUGCUGACAAGUGGAAAUAGUUCCCUCUCAUGGAUGAGGCAAUAGGUGGCAGGCCCAUGAUUCGGCCCCCAUGCCUCAUUGCCUCAGCCUGGGGGGAGAGCCAUUCCUUUUCUGAGUCAGGCUCCCCAUAUUCAGUCCCAGAUAGACCUGAUGGAGAGUCAGGGACAGGGGAGGAGGAACCAGGGCCAGCGGUACGAUAGGGAUACGAUAGUUUCUGUUACAGAAACUCGUAGAUAAAAUGUAAAAAAGAAUAUAUUAAAUUGUUUAAAUCAAGAUAACUUCCAUCAAAGAUUUUUUUCUUGGCAUCAUAUGGUUGUUAACAAAUGCUUUAUUCAAAGUUUAAAUUUAACUGAUAUAUUUUUGAUUUUGAAAAGAAAACUAUUUACAUAAACACACACACACACACACACAUAUAUAUAUAAAGAAAUUGCAUUUAUCCUUUUGGGAUUUUUUAAUAACUUUACAAAAAUGGAACACAAAAAUGAUUCAAAUUAA
ensembl:lncRNA